AGUGCGAGAACAAUCAUGCAUUCAGACUUGUAGAUCCAUGAGAUCCUCAUAGACUUCUAAGGGCAGGUCAGCCUACAGUUCCUCACUUUCUUCCUCAUUUGGCAGGAGCCAUGGAAAGAGUGAGGUCCAUAUGCUCAGUAAGAAAAACUGUAUUAAAUUAACAUCGUAAGACUUCAAAAGAUAAUUAUUUUGACUUAAGAGCUUAUCAUUUAACCUCCUCAUGUACCAAUCUCACAUUAUGAAAAACUAUUUAUUUGUUAGAAAAUGGCAUGUUAAUGCAGACAACUAAACAUACAUCUUGCCAGUUAAUAAAGGAAAUCAAAUAAAUCAUGAAAUGCUAAGAUUUUCAUGUUAUGCUUCGCGAAGUAGUUACAACUUCUUUCUCUGAGGGCAGAUACAGAUUUCCAACUAGCUAAGUGGAAUGACCAGAUUAGAUACAGAUACAAAAAUUUGCUCAAGCCUAUUUCUGGCUGGCCAAACUAUGGUAUGAUCUAUGACUACGGUCGUACCAGCCAUAGUGGCCCUAAUAGAUAUCUAUAGUCACAACAUUACUUAACCACGAGUGACCUCUAUAGAUAGUGCAAUACCACUCUCAUCAGAGGGUACAUCGUCAUCCAGUAGGAAUGGUACUUUUAUAUCUUUCCAGACCAGAUAGGAGAAGGGGAAACAGAUACCCAUUAGAGAUAAAAAGGCUAACAAGACACUUGAUGCAAUAUGCAUGUCAAUACGGAUAUAUUUCGGACCAUACAAUCUUCAUUCCACAUUUCUCUUUUUCUUUUCUUUUAUACCUUUUUACUUCUAUCGAUUACAUAUUAUAUUUAUUACAUGCAAAUUCAUCAAGUAUCUGCAACUCACAUAACAUGCUUGAAAAUAAGAACAAUUCAACU
rnacentral:lncRNA from 1 species